UAGGGAAUCUUCCACAAUGGGCGAAAGCCUGAUGGAGCAACGCCGCGUGUGUGAUGAAGGGUUUCGGCUCGUAAAGCACUGUUGUAAGAGAAGAAUGACAUUGAGAGUAACUGUUCAAUGUGUGACGGUAUCUUACCAGAAAGGAACGGCUAAAUACGUGCCAG
rnacentral:rRNA from 1 species